rnacentral:rRNA from 1 species
UACGGAGGGGGCUAGCGUUGUUCGGAAUUACUGGGCGUAAAGCGCACGUAGGCGGCUUUGUAAGUUAGAGGUGAAAGCCCAGGGCUUAACCCUGGAAUUGCCUUUAAGACUGCAUCGCUAGAAUCGUGGAGAGGUGAGUGGAAUUCCGAGUGUAGAGGUGAAAUUCGUAGAUAUUCGGAGGAACACCAGUGGCGAAGGCGGCUCACUGGCUCGAUACUGACGCUGAGGUGCGAAAGCGUGGGGAGCAAACAGG